rnacentral:lncRNA from 7 species
AUAUGGAAGCUGACUGGACCUUACAUGAAGUUAAUUAGAGGAAGAAUUUUAGUACUGGUGCCUAUGGCUGAGGGAAUAAGACCAGCAGUGAUAAGAAUGAAAUAGCAAAGGCUCUGAAGCAGCAUGAAGCAGUGAACAGACCUCACUUUGGAAACCUUAUAACGAAGAAGCUUUCCAAUGCUGCUGUCAAAAUUGUCAUUCCCCACCAGAUGCCCUAACUUCCCACUGCUCCCCGCUGGUACUGCUGCCCCUGUUGUCUCUCCAUCCAAAGAGUUUCUGAACAAGAGACAAGCUUUUAUGGAGCCUGGCAAAGCUUCAGAAGGGAAAAGGAAAAAUCGAUACUGCUUCAAAGCAAAGUCUUUGCUUCAGUGAAUAUGACAUUUGCCCUUUCUUCACUAGGGGGAAAAACAACAAGGACACUUACACCGGCAAUGGAAAUAGAAUGAACAACAGAGAGACCUUCCAGGUUUGACAUGUAAAGGGAAAUAACUUUGUAGUUAUUGUCCCUACUUGGAGACAUCAAAAACAGGUGUAGAGUGUAAGGCGGUGCAGGCUGAGAACGAAGUGGAAAGUAACACAAAGUCAAAGAGAAGAGUUGAAGGAAUUUGGAACAAGGGAUAAUGGACUUGGCUGAAAAGAUGGAGAAUGAAAGACACUGCGCAAAGGUGAAGUCCAUUGUUGUACAAUCAAAUUAACUAUUAAAUGUCAGCUGCAAAGGUGAGCCAUAAUAUUAAAAGGACCUUCCAGUAAGUUUUACGCCAUUUUGACAGCUUUACAGCCACUGAAAAUGUCCAUAGAGCCUCACAGUUUGCUAAUGAAUGGCUUCUCCAUAAGAAUGGAACAGGUCAGAACUUUGAAAGAGAAGCUGGAAAUACCAAUUAAAGAAAUGGAUGCUUCUGCAAAAUCAAAACAACUUUGAAGAACACUCACUUAUAUUUUUGGAGGAUUCACAAAGAACUGAACUAAAUAUAAGCCUUAGAAGUCUGCUCCAAUUCUUUUCCAUAUCCAGGUUUUCAUUAAUUUCAUUCUAAAGCUGGUUAUAACCCCCUGAUUCCAUUCUAUUUUGAUGAUGCCACUACUGAGCUAGUUUCCCAAGUUGUGCUGUUUUGAUGUUUCUACUUUUGUCAUUCACCACGUGGAAUUUUAUGGACCUCUUUUCUUUUGGAAUAACACCCAUCAUUUAAAUGUUGUCACUGUUCAAAAAUACUUCUUUUCUUAUGCGAAGCUGUUCCUUCAGCUGCAGCUGCCACCAGUAGUGGUUAACUUGUGGCACCUAAAUUCCCUGCUGAGUGGGUCAGCUGCUGCUGUUGCAGUUAUGUGUCAGAGCAGGCUUCAUCCUUGGUGAAUCAAAUAGCAUGACUUCUGAGGAGCACGCUCGUAGUGCAGCAGGACAGUCAUGUACUCAUACUCUGACCCCUGUACUGCUGCUGGGUGAGAGUUCUGCAGCUACAAGAAUCAAUAAAAAUGUAUUGAUUUCUCUGCACUGUCAUAAAGCUUGUCUGCUCUCAUCUCCAGUUUGCAAGCAGAAAAAGAAGAGUGUAAAACUGCAAUUGUCUUAGGCUUUCUCUCACCUCCCCCGUUCCACGCUCAUCACUCCAGAGACCAAGAUCUGUUUCUGACAUGCUGCCCCAGCUGCUGUAUCAGCAUCCUACUCUUUUAACACUUUGUGUUGGAAAAAUAGCUGGUUUUGAACUAAGUAAGUGCAGGGGGAUUGCCUUAAAGACUAAGGUGAGUGACUUCUCUGGAGCUUAAUUUGUCCCACUACAUGCAGAAAAGGGUAGCCAAGGGCAAAUAAUGUGAUGAGGAGUUCAUUGUCUCUGUAGGUAUUGCAGUCUCACAUAAAGUUACUUUUCUAGGCCGUUUCAGAUCCCUUUGAAAGUGAUGUUUUCUAUUCUAGGAAGAAGGUGGGUAGUGAUCAUUGAUCUGAAGAACGUAGGAAUGUCCUCCACUGCUGGUAGCUGUCUCAGAGGUAAAAGUGAAGCAGGAGAAGGGUAAAAUAGUAUUUUCAAUAAUAUUUAACUUCACAGCAACUGUCACCUAAUAACCAUACCUGUCAAAAGGCAGCUGUGCAGAUAUGUGCCUCUGAGGUUCAUGCAGAUUACUUGGGAAGCUUGGCUUCAAGCUUCUGGGGAUGGAUGUAACAAUUUGUCAGCUGUAUAAUCAGUUGAUCAAAUCCCAAAGUCCUGAUAAAACGCAGAAUGCAGUCAUGGAGCAAACAGGCCAGAAAAGAUUCACCCAAAAGACAGAAGUACAAGACCCCUGCACAUUGCUGAGUAUAAUUUCAUGAUUUCCAUGAUUUCACUGCCUAGGUCAGCAGUAUCAGUGAACGACUAUAUUGGAAUAUUACAGAUCAACAACAAAAGAAGCAUGAAAGGGGAGCAACUUGCAUUGUUUAAAAGCAUCUCCUUGGAUGCUUUUGUUUCUGUGAAGAAUGAGGACUUUGACACUCAGCUAUUCUUUUGAUGAGGUCCUCAGCUGCACCAGUUCUGAUAGAAAUAUUUGCAGUGCUGCAAAUUAACAAGCGAUACACACACGUGACCACUGGUCAAAUGACUGACUGUGUCUGCAUCGUCAGUUGUCAAUGUAACUAUGUGUUACUUAAUGUAUUUGUGGCGCAGGAAGUAGGCACUGCUUUCUGCUCUACCAGCUGAAGGGCAAGGCAGACCUGCUGACAAGUAGGAAAAUACAGGUUUAUCAACCC